GACGAACGCUGGCGGCGUGCUUAACACAUGCAAGUCGAACGGAAAGGCCCUGCUUUUGUGGGGUGCUCGAGUGGCGAACGGGUGAGUAACACGUGAGUAACCUGCCCUUGACUUUAGGAUAACUUCAGGAAACUGGGGCUAAUACCGGAUAGGAGCUCCUGCUGCAUGGUGGGGGUUGGAAAGUUUCGGCGGUUGGGGAUGGACUCGCGGCUUAUCAGCUUGUUGGUGGGGUAGUGGCUUACCAAGGCUUUGACGGGUAGCCGGCCUGAGAGGGUGACCGGCCACAUUGGGACUGAGAUACGGCCCAGACUCCUACGGGAGGCAGCAGUGGGGAAUAUUGCACAAUGGGCGGAAGCCUGAUGCAGCAACGCCGCGUGCGGGAUGACGGCCUUCGGGUUGUAAACCGCUUUCGCCUGUGACGAAGCGUGAGUGACGGUAAUGGGUAAAGAAGCACCGGCUAACUACGUG
rnacentral:rRNA from 1 species